UAGAGGUUGUUGCCGAUUCUCAUGCUUCUGAUACGAACAGCAAAUUCUCUGUCAUUUCAAGCUUUAAAUCGGAAUGUAUAAAAUUAAUGUGCUACACGCGCCAAUCCUGCUUGUUUGCAGAUUGUGGUCGAAGGGAUUGCUCUAGGUGCAUUUCUUUUUAUAGAGCCCUUGAGGCAGAUAGCGAAUGGAGGAAUUAAGCAGAAAGAGAGAGAUGCAGCUCAGUAAAUGAGCUGGAGGUGGUGUGACAGGAGAUCAGUCGGAAGUAAAUUGACAGCCGAAUGGAAAGUGGACAAGAAGGAUGUGGUGGAAGUGGACAAUACAGGUGCAGGAAGAGCACGAGUGCCGUAUAUUUGCUCGAAUCUGCUCAGCUGUUUACUGAGAUUUUCGCUGAUCAUGGCAAUCAUUUCCCGCCAGUUUUUUCCUGGAAUCCCAUGGGUUUUUUAAAGUCUAUAAACACUAAUGGUUUCUGCCUUCAGUACUCAAAGACAGAAUAUCCACACUCCACAGUGCUCAAGUGAAGAGUUUCUUGAUCCCAGUCCCAAGUGCUUGAAUCAAAUAAUGAUUGUUAGGCGGGGGGGGGAGGGGGAAAUGAGAGCAUUAGACUUGGCAAGUGCUGUGGCUUCAUGGUGGAAUAAUGUUGUAUUAUUAUUUGGAGUUUGCUUGUACCGUUGAUGGAUGAAAUCAAGUUCAUUAUUGUAAGGGGCUUCCUGCUUACUCUAGUGAUGAGCCCACUAUUAUUGGAAAAAUUGAACUCGCCUUUAGAGUUCUAAUUUUUUGAAAUGUUCACAAUUCUGACAUGGCCCAAUAAGCUUGAUGCAGGGUGGUUGUUGAACCAGGAUAGAUGGGUAAAAGCAUUUAAGAACUACGAUUUCAUGACUCUGGAGUCAUAAAUCUGUAGAAGUCUCUUCUACAGAAGCCUGUGGAGGUCGUCGUUGCAUAUACUCAACAGUGGAGAUAUUUCCAGACACAAAAAGCAUGAAGAGGAAUUGGGGGGCAGGGGCUGAGAGCAGGAAUAUAGUAUUGAGAUAAAGGAUUUGCUGUAAUUGUAUUUAAUGGUAGAAGGAGCCUAUUCCUGCUCCUAUUUUUCUAUGUUUUGUAUUAGCGGGAGUGAUUUUUACAAAAAAAAAUUGAGAGGACAGAAACCUCAAGUGCUCUGUUCUGAACACACAAAUAUGGGGG